UACAGAGGAUGCAAGCGUUAUCCGGAAUGAUUGGGCGUAAAGCGUCUGUAGGUGGCUUUUUAAGUCCGCCGUCAAAUCCCAGGGCUCAACUCUGGACAGGCGGUGGAAACUACCAAGCUGGAGUGCGGCAGAGGGGGAUGGAAUUCCGCGUGUAGCAGUGAAAUGCGUAGAUAUGCGGAGGAACACCGAUGGCGAAGGCAAUCCCCUGGGCCUGCACUGACGCUCAUGCACGAAAGCGUGGGGAGCAAACAGG
rnacentral:rRNA from 1 species